rnacentral:rRNA from 1 species
AACGUAGGACACAAGCGUUAUCCGGAGUUACUGGGCGUAAAGGGUGCGUAGGUGGCGGGGUAAGUCGGAUGUGAAAUCUCGGGGCUCAACCUCGAAACUGCAUUCGAUACUGCCUUGCUAGAGUACUGGAGAGGAGAUCGGAAUUUACGGUGUAGCAGUGAAAUGCGUAGAUAUCGUAAGGAAGACCAGUGGCGAAGGCGGAUCUCUGGACAGUUACUGACACUGAGGCACGAAGGCCAGGGGAGCAAACGGG